AGUGCUUUCCAGGAAAGAAUUGUCCAAAGUCGCGAGGCUGGGUUUAGAGUCAGAAACUGAACCUGGAGGAACAACGGUUCUAAAUGGUGCGUGAGGAAGAGGAGGCUAGAAAAGAUGAAGUUAGAAGAAAUACAAGGAAGCAACAGCUCACUGAAGUAGACCCGAGGAAGCUACUUCAGGAUAAAAAGGUGCAAGAGUGAAGACGCAGACAUGGUGCAAGGGUCCAGUUGUUUGUUUUUCCUUUCAUGGACAAACUUUGGUGUCGUGGUCUGUAUUUGAAAGUUUAAUAUUCAUAUUUCUUCUAACAAUUAUUGAACUCUCGACAUAUCUGUAUUGACCUUUUUAUGAAUGAGUAUUCAGCCAUCUUUUGUUCA